UUGUUACUCUUAACGAUCGAUUGUGAAUUGAAACCACAUUUCAAUUCUCCCUUUAUUGAUUAGUGUUUGCUAAUCAUUAGGGCUUCCACAAACCACGAGUGACGCCUAGCAGAAUAUCAUGGUUACCUAAGCUAAGUAGAAUUGGUUGGAGAACCUAUCCAGUUACAACUACAAUGCAAUACGGUCCUUCUUUAAUACAAUACUCUUAAUCACAUUGUUUAAGUGAUAGUUUGUUUCAUGUCUACUAUCCAAUGUGAUACUUUCC
rnacentral:lncRNA from 1 species